rnacentral:rRNA from 1 species
AGAGUUUGAUCCUGGCUCAGAAUGAACGCUGGCGGCAUGGCUAAGACAUGCAAGUCGAACGGACUAUUUUGAAGAGUAAUCGGAUUUAUAGUUAGUGGCGAAAGGGUGAGGAAUGGAUAGGUAACGUACCUCGGGCUCCGGAAUAGCUCAUCGAAAGGUGGGGUAAUGCCGGAUAAUGUCAUCUGUUUAAUUCAGGUGACCAAAGAUUUAUCGGCCCAUGAGCGGCCUAUUCCCUAUCAGCUUGUUGGUGAGGUAACGGCUCACCAAGGCGACGACGGGUAGCGGGACUGAGAGGUUGGCCCGCCACAUCGGGACUGAGACACUGCCCGGACCUCCACGGAGGGCUGCAGUAACGAAUAUUGGGCAAUGGGCGAAAGCCUGACCCAGCAAUGCCGCGUGUAGGAUGAAGCCUUUCGGGGUGUAAACUACUUUCAGGGAUUAGAAAGCUACGGUUGAUCAAUCCCAGAGGAAGUCACGGCUAACUUCGUGCCAGCAGCCGCGGUAAGACGAAGGUGGCAAGCGUUAUUCGAAAUCACUGGGCUUAAAGGGUGCGUAGGCGGAACUGUAAGUGUCUUGUGAAAUCCCUCGGCUUAACCGAGGAAUGGCUCGGCAAACUGCAGUUCUUGAGGCUAGUAGGGGUGUGUGGAACUCUUGGUGGAGCGGUGGAAUGCGUAGAUAUCAAGAGGAACGCCGAAGGUGAAGACAGCACACUGGACUUGUACUGACGCUGAGGCACGAAAGCGUGGGGAGCAAACAGGAUUAGAUACCCUGGUAGUCCACGCCGUAAACGAUGUGCACUAGGUCGCGGAGGUUCUGACACCGUCGCGGUCGUAGCAAAAGUGUUAAGUGCACCGCCUGGGGAGUACGGUCGCAAGGCUAAAACUCAAAGGAAUUGACGGGGGCUCACACAAGCGGUGGAGCAUGUGGAUUAAUUCGAACUAACGCGCAGAACCUUACCUGGGUUUGACAUGUAUGGAUGCCUAUCGGGAAACCGAGUCGGCUGCCUUCGGGUGAAACUUACACAGGUGCUGCAUGGCUGUCGUCAGCUCGUGUCGUGAGAUGUCGGGUUAAGUCCUUUAACGAGCGAAACCCUUACCGUUAGUUGCCAGCGCGUCAUGGCGGGGACUCUAGCGGGACUGCCGGUGUUAAACCGGAGGAAGGCGGGGAUGACGUCAAGUCCUCAUGGCCUUUAUGCCCAGGGCUUCACACGUGCUACAAUGGCAGGUACAAAGCGACGCGAUACCGCGAGGUGGAGCAAAUCGCAAAAAACCUGCCCCAGUUCAGAUUGCAGGCUGGCAACUCGCCUGCAUGAAGGUGGAAUCGCUAGUAAUCGCGUAUCAGCGAUGACGCGGUGAAUGUGUUCCUGAGCCUUGUACACACCGCCCGUCAAGUCACGGAAGUUGGGAGUACCCGAAGUCGGAUCAUCAACCUUUUAGGAGAUGUCUGCCGACGGUAAGCUUGAUGACUGGGACUAAAUCGUAACAAGGUA